rnacentral:snoRNA from 1 species
CCCAGUUGUCGGCAAUGGCCUAGGUUGUACUGUACCUAUGCAAGUGUUACACUGUUGGGAGAAAAGCAGUUAAUAGCUGUUGGGCAUCCUGGGUCAGUUAAUGACAAA